rnacentral:rRNA from 1 species
GGUGAACCUGCGGAAGGGUCAUUCGCAC